rnacentral:rRNA from 1 species
GUACACAAAAAUGCACAUAUUGUGAGCUCGAUGAGUAGGGCGGGACACGUGGUAUCCUGUCUGAAUAUGGGGGGACCAUCCUCCAAGGCUAAAUACUCCUGACUGACCGAUAGUGAACCAGUACCGUGAGGGAAAGGCGAAAAGAACCCCGGCGAGGGGAGUGAAAAAGAACCUGAAACCGUGUACGUACAAGCAGUGGGAGCCUCUUUAUGGGGUGACUGCGUACCUUUUGUAUAAUGGGUCAGCGACUUAUAUUCUGUAGCAAGGUUAACCGAAUAGGGGAGCCGAAGGGAAACCGAGUCUUAACUGGGCGUUAAGUUGCAGGGUAUAGACCCGAAACCCGGUGAUCUAGCCAUGGGCAGGUUGAAGGUUGGGUAACACUAACUGGAGGACCGAACCGACUAAUGUUGAAAAAUUAGCGGAUGACUUGUGGCUGGGGGUGAAAGGCCAAUCAAACCGGGAGAUAGCUGGUUCUCCCCGAAAGCUAUUUAGGUAGCGCCUCGUGAAUUCAUCUCCGGGGGUAGAGCACUGUUUCGGCAAGGGGGUCAUCCCGACUUACCAACCCGAUGCAAACUGCGAAUACCGGAGAAUGUUAUCACGGGAGACACACGGCGGGUGCUAACGUCCGUCGUGAAGAGGGAAACAACCCAGACCGCCAGCUAAGGUCCCAAAGUCAUGGUUAAGUGGGAAACGAUGUGGGAAGGCCCAGACAGCCAGGAUGUUGGCUUAGAAGCAGCCAUCAUUUAAAGAAAGCGUAAUAGCUCACUGGUCGAGUCGGCCUGCGCGGAAGAUGUAACGGGGCUAAACCAUGCACCGAAGCUGCGGCAGCGACACUAUGUGUUGUUGGGUAGGGGAGCGUUCUGUAAGCCUGUGAAGGUGGCCUGUGAGGGUUGCUGGAGGUAUCAGAAGUGCGAAUGCUGACAUAAGUAACGAUAAAGCGGGUGAAAAGCCCGCUCGCCGGAAGACCAAGGGUUCCUGUCCAACGUUAAUCGGGGCAGGGUGAGUCGACCCCUAAGGCGAGGCCGAAAGGCGUAGUCGAUGGGAAACAGGUUAAUAUUCCUGUACUUGGUGUUACUGCGAAGGGGGGACGGAGAAGGCUAUGUUGGCCGGGCGACGGUUGUCCCGGUUUAAGCGUGUAGGCUGGUUUUCCAGGCAAAUCCGGAAAACCAAGGCUGAGGCGUGAUGACGAGGCACUACGGUGCUGAAGCGACAAAUGCCCUGCUUCCAGGAAAAGCCUCUAAGCAUCAGGUAACAUCAAAUCGUACCCCAAACCGACACAGGUGGUCAGGUAGAGAAUACCAAGGCGCUUGAGAGAACUCGGGUGAAGGAACUAGGCAAAAUGGUGCCGUAACUUCGGGAGAAGGCACGCUGAUAUGUAGGUGAAGCGACUUGCUCGUGGAGCUGAAAUCAGUCGAAGAUACCAGCUGGCUGCAACUGUUUAUUAAAAACACAGCACUGUGCAAACACGAAAGUGGACGUAUACGGUGUGACGCCUGCCCGGUGCCGGAAGGUUAAUUGAUGGGGUUAGCGGUAACGCGAAGCUCUUGAUCGAAGCCCCGGUAAACGGCGGCCGUAACUAUAACGGUCCUAAGGUAGCGAAAUUCCUUGUCGGGUAAGUUCCGACCUGCACGAAUGGCGUAAUGAUGGCCAGGCUGUCUCCACCCGAGACUCAGUGAAAUUGAACUCGCUGUGAAGAUGCAGUGUACCCGCGGCAAGACGGAAAGACCCCGUGAACCUUUACUAUAGCUUGACACUGAACAUUGAGCCUUGAUGUGUAGGAUAGGUGGGAGGCUUUGAAGUGUGGACGCCAGUCUGCAUGGAGCCGACCUUGAAAUACCACCCUUUAAUGUUUGAUGUUCUAACGUUGGCCCGUAAUCCGGGUUGCGGACAGUGUCUGGUGGGUAGUUUGACUGGGGCGGUCUCCUCCUAAAGAGUAACGGAGGAGCACGAAGGUUGGCUAAUCCUGGUCGGACAUCAGGAGGUUAGUGCAAUGGCAUAAGCCAGCUUGACUGCGAGCGUGACGGCGCGAGCAGGUGCGAAAGCAGGUCAUAGUGAUCCGGUGGUUCUGAAUGGAAGGGCCAUCGCUCAACGGAUAAAAGGUACUCCGGGGAUAACAGGCUGAUACCGCCCAAGAGUUCAUAUCGACGGCGGUGUUUGGCACCUCGAUGUCGGCUCAUCACAUCCUGGGGCUGAAGUAGGUCCCAAGGGUAUGGCUGUUCGCCAUUUAAAGUGGUACGCGAGCUGGGUUUAGAACGUCGUGAGACAGUUCGGUCCCUAUCUGCCGUGGGCGCUGGAGAACUGAGGGGGGCUGCUCCUAGUACGAGAGGACCGGAGUGGACGCAUCACUGGUGUUCGGGUUGUCAUGCCAAUGGCACUGCCCGGUAGCUAAAUGCGGAAGAGAUAAGUGCUGAAAGCAUCUAAGCACGAAACUUGCCCCGAGAUGAGUUCUCCCUGAGACUUAGAGUCUCCUGAAGGAACGUUGAAGACGACGACGUUGAUAGGCCGGGUGUGUAAGCGCAGCGAUGCGUUGAGCUAACCGGUACUAAUGAACCGUGAGGCUUAACCUUACAAC